UCUACUACAGUGGCGGAGCCGUACAGGACCUGUUUCACUGCAGGGGGAUCCAAAACAAGCCCCGUGGAGCAGCAGCCAGAGCAACAGCAGCCGCAAGACAUUGUUUCUCUCCCUCUGCCCCCCCUUCCCCACGCAACCCCAGAUCCAUUUACACUUUACAGUUUUACCUCACAAAAACUACUACAAGCACCAAGCUCCCUGAUGGAAAGGAGCAUCGUGCAUCAAGUCACCAGGGUGGUCCAUUCAAGCUGCAGAUUUAUUUGUCAUCCUUGUACAACAGUCUCCUCCUCCACUGCCACUACAGGGAAGUGCAUCACGUGUCAGGUCACAGAACAGAAAGUGCUGGUGGACAUCUCUUCUUGCCCUAAGAUCUUCGUUGGAAGUCCUCGGGACUUGGUGUCUUUGCCGUUCAAAGUGUUUAUGAACUCGCCAGGAGGCAUAAUGUGUCACCAUUUUAUUCUGGGCCACCCUAAAGGAUGACACCCAGCUUCAGAGACCUCCUCUUGGACGACAUCCCUGAGAACCAAUGUUUUAGCCGUCCCAUAGUCUGACGUCUGUUUCCGACUGCUUUUGAGCUGGCGCAGGCUUAGUCAUUAAUGGCCAGGACGAUGUUAAAUGUUCUGCCUGAUUGGCUUGCAGCUACACACCUUUUGUCAUUUGUAGAGCAGCAACUCCCUCUUGAGCUCUUGGGGAGUCUUUACACAAAUACACUAGAAAAAAGGCACCCAUCCAUUUUUUUCCAUCUUGGCAUUAGCUCACAGGCAUAGUCCUGGGAUGACCUGGAGUAGAGGCAGUGGAGGAUAAAUUCAUCUUGCACAGACUUGUUUGUGCUAGUUCUAGCCUGUCUCUCGCCACAGAUCUAGCUUUUAAAUACUCAAGUGAUUGGUUUUGUGUAGGAAUGUGUGGAUUGUUGGAUUGGAAGAAUUUUCUCCCUGGAUUUCGAGUGUUUACAUAAGCAGAUAUAAAAAAAAUUUGAUCACUGAUUUAAAUAGCAGAGCUUAUUUUAAAAAGUUAUGGGUGUUUCAAGGUGGUACA